rnacentral:rRNA from 1 species
CAGUAGGGUGCCAUCAAAAGGUGUAUUGAAUC